CCUACGGGAGGCUGCAGUGAGGAAUAUUGGUCAAUGGGCGCUAGCCUGAACCAGCCAAGUAGCGUGAAGGAUGACUGCCCUAUGGGUUGUAAACUUCUUUUAUAUGGGAAUAAAGUGCAGUAUGUAUACUGCUUUGCAUGUACCUUAUGAAUAAGGAUCGGCUAACUCCGUGCCAGCAGCCGCGGUAAUACGGAGGAUUCGAGCGUUAUCCGGAUUUAUUGGGUUUAAAGGGAGCGUAGGCGGGUUGUUAAGUCAGUUGUGAAAGUUUGCGGCUCAACCGUAAAAUUGCAGUUGAUACUGGCAGCCUUGAGUACAGUAGAGGUAGGCGGAAUUCGUGGUGUAGCGGUGAAAUGCUUAGAUAUCACGAAGAACUCCGAUUGCGAAGGCAGCCUGCUGGACUGUAACUGACGCUGAUGCUCGAAAGUGUGGGUAUCAAACAGGAUUAGAUACCCUAGUAGUC
rnacentral:rRNA from 1 species